rnacentral:rRNA from 1 species
AUGCAGGCGGAGCGACGGCGUCAAGCUGCUUGGCCCGGGCACGCGCUCAUGGCGGCCGAUGCUCCAGGUGUCGGACUUCAAGGGUGGCACACCGGAGGUGAUCGAGAUGAGCUACGUCGUGCUGGUGCUGGUGCCGCCCGCGACAAGACUUGGGGCGCCCACGAGACAGUGAUCGUCGAGGUGGUCGCCGACCAGGUGGCCGUGGCGCUCUCGCACGCGUCGCUGCUCGAGGAGUCGCAGGCCAUGCGCGACCGGCUCGUCGAGCAGAACUUCGAGCUGCUGCAGGCACGGCGGGACAGGCUCAUGGCGAAUGAGGCCCGGGACGCGUUCCAGCGCAUCAUGAGCCAGGGAAUGCGCCGCCGUUCCACUCCAUCCUCGGCCUCGUCUCUGUGGUGCAGGAGGACAACCUGA